UCUGUACAUUAUAGAAGGUAACGCCUGCCCAGUGACUAUGUGUUAAACGGCCGCGGUAUACUGACCGUGCAAAGGUAGCGUAAUCACUUGUCUUUUAAAUGAAGACUAGUAUGAAUGGCAUCACGAGAACUAAUCUGUCUCCCUCCCCUAAUCAGUGAAACUGAUCUCCCCGUGCAGAAGCGGGGAUAAUAUCAUAAGACGAGAAGACCCUGUGGAGCUUAAAAUCAAAAAUCAACUGCUUCUCCCACCUAUACUAAAGAAACAUUUUCCGCAAGCCUGAUUUAGAUUUUCAGCUGGGGCGGCUGUGGAGAAAAAUAAAUCCUCCACGAAUAUUUAUGCUGAAAGCCACCGCGAUAGGCAUUAAUAAACUUAAUUU
rnacentral:rRNA from 1 species